AGUGAACGCUGGCGGUAGGCCUAACACAUGCAAGUCGAACGGCAGCACAGUAAGAGCUUGCUCUUACGGGUGGCGAGUGGCGGACGGGUGAGGAAUACAUCGGAUUCUACUUUUUCGUGGGGGAUAACGUAGGGAAACUUACGCUAAUACCGCAUACGACCUACGGGUGAAAGCAGGGGAUCUUCGGACCUUGCGCGAUUGAUUGAGCCGAUGUCGGAUUAGCUAGUUGGCGGGGUAAAGGCCCACCAAGGCGACGAUCCGUAGCUGGUCUGAGAGGAUGAUCAGCCACACUGGAACUGAGACACGGUCCAGACUCCUACGGGAGGCAGCAGUGGGGAAUAUUGGACAAUGGGCGCAAGCCUGAUCCAGCCAUACCGCGUGGGUGAAGAAGGCCUUCGGGUUGUAAAGCCCUUUUGUUGGGAAAGAAAAGCAGCAGGUUAAUACCCCGCUGUUCUGACGGUACCCAAAGAAUAAGCACCGGCUAACUUCGUG
rnacentral:rRNA from 1 species